UUAGACUUCCAGUCGCUUAUUUACAAUCAAAUAUUUCUCCUCGGCUUUAUUUAUUGGUUCAAUAUAAAAUUCCUGGUGACAAUUGGGGGGAAUAUAUUUACCCAAUCAUUACUAAAAAUAUGUUGCCUAAGACAAAACAUUUAUACCCACUGGCACAAACUAUAUCCAUUCGGCAAAAUCUUUCAUGCUUUCUACCAGCUGUCAAAUUAUUACAGGAAAAGUCCAGCAAUUGGCACCCAAAAAAGUGAUUUCAAGGAUAUUUGCAAAUUCAAAAUUGGUUGAGGUGUGAUUAGAAUAUUGGCUGUGGGUUUCAGCAUUGACAGCACAGAAUGGCAAAUAUCAAAUUUGCAUCAGGAGCCACCCAACCACGUGUGUGAGUUAAUAAUGGUCAUGGAAGACUUAGUCUAAAAUAUUUUUACUGACUUCAUCAGCUUUACAUCAAUGCAAUCCAUUAAAUAUGCCCUUUCGGGUUUAGUCUCCACCACCAAAAUCUCACCCCCAUUAAAAUUUCAAGUAUACUACCAUACUGCAUGACAACAUAGCUACCCAAUCCCCAUUUCAUCAAUUUUUUGAAAAUCAGGAAAAAGUCAAAGAUUUACCAGUAUAUAAAAAACUUUAGUAUGAAAAUUCAAUGCUUAACUCAUUGCAUAGAGAACAAUCAGUGAGUUUUUGUGGUUUCUGCUUAAAAAUAAAGCUGACUGGAGUUAUUUCCCUUGCCCCAUCCAUCUAAAAAGAAGUUAAGUCUCAGUUAAAACAUUCUGAUAAAAAAAAAGAAGAAAAAAACAAA